UCUCUUUAUUUAUGUUUAUGUGAAUGUAUUUCGUUAGUUUGAUAUAAUCAACUACUCUAUCAACCGUUAGCGUAAUUUUGACAUGUUAUUUUGGUGAUUUUGUCAUGCGUACAAAAUUUGACGUUAACACUAUCCACAUAUAUUUAAAUGUGUUAAUUAGUUUCUUAUUUGAGAAUAAAUAGUUUAAUCACUUGAUAUAUUUGAGUAUGCAAUUAUAUCAAUUAAUAAAGCGGGAGGAAAAAGUACGUUCUUUUUAGUGUAAAUAAUUUUAUGAAGCUUUUUUUAUUAUUUUCCUUUUUUUAGCUUUUCCGUCCCAAUUAAUUCGCUCAAACAAAUAGUUAUUUCAUUUUUCAUUCUUGUUUUCUGUCUCCUACUCUCUUAUCCCUUAUUUAAAAAAUUUAUUUUAAACCACACACGUAUUUAAAAAUUUUAUUUUAAACCACACACUUGCUGUGUGUAGGUAACUAGUUAAUACUCUCUCUAUUCUUUAAAAGAUGACUUAAGUUAUAAUUUUC
rnacentral:lncRNA from 1 species